rnacentral:rRNA from 1 species
GAAAGGGACCUAGCGUAGUUCGGAAUUACUGGGCUUAAAGAGUUCGUAGGUGGUUGAAAAAGUUAGUGGUGAAAUCCCAGAGCUUAACUCUGGAACUGCCAUUAAAACUUUUCAGCUAGAGUAUGAUAGAGGAAAGCAGAAUUUCUAGUGUAGAGGUGAAAUUCGUAGAUAUUAGAAAGAAUACCAAUUGCGAAGGCAGCUUUCUGGAUCAUUACUGACACUGAGGAACGAAAGCAUGGGUAGCGAAGAGGAUUAGAUACCCUCGUAGUCCAUGCCGUAAACGAUGUGUGUUAGACGUUGGAAAUUUAUUUUCAGUGUCGCAGGGAAACCGAUAAACACACCGCCUGGGGAGUACGACCGCAAGGUUAAAACUCAAAUGAAUUGACGGGGACCCGCACAAGUAGUGGAGCAUGUGGUUUAAUUCGAAGAUACGCGCAGAACCUUACCAACACUUGACAUGUUCGUCGCGACUCUAAGAGAUUAGAGUUUUCGGUUCGGCCGGACGAAACACAGGUGCUGCAUGGCUGUCGUCAGCUCGUGUCGUGAGAUGUUGGGUUAAGUCCCGCAACGAGCGCAACCCUCACUUUUAGUUGCCAUCAUUAAGUUGGGCACUCUGAAAGAACCGCCAGUGAUAAGCUGGAGGAAGGUGGGGAUGACGUCAAGUCCUCAUGGCCCUUACGUGUUGGGCUACACACGUGCUACAAUGGCAUCUACAACAGGAAGCAAGACUGCGAAGUUAAGCAAAUCCCUAAAAGAUACCUCAGUUCGGAUUGCACUCUGCAACUCGAGUGCAUGAAGCUGGAAUUACUAGUAAUCGUGGAUCAGCGUGCCACGGUGAAUGCGUUCCCGGGUCUU